rnacentral:rRNA from 1 species
GAACGCUGGCGGCGUGCCUAAUACAUCCAAGUCGAGCGAACGGACGAGAAGCUUGCUUCUCUGAUGUUAGCGGCGGACGGGUGAGUAACACGUGGAUAACCUACCUCUAAGACUGGGUUAACUUCGGGAAACCGGAGCUAAUACCGGAUAAUAUUUUGAACCGCAUGGUUCAAAAGUGAAAGACGGUCUUGCUGUCACUUAUAGAUUGAUCCGCGCUGCAUUAGCUAGUUGGUAAGGUAACGGCUUACCAAGGCAACGAUGCAUAGCCGACCUGAGAGGGUGAUCGACCACAAUGGAACUGAGACACGGUCCAGACUCCUACGGGAGGCAGCAGUAGGGAAUCUUCCGCAAUGGGCGAAAGCAUGACGGAGCAACGCCGCGUGAGUGAUGAAGGUCUUCGGAUCGUAAAACUCUGUUAUUAGGGAAGAACAUAUGUGUAAGUAACUGUGCACAUCUUGACGGUACCUAAUCAGAAAGCCACGGCUAACUACGUG